AUAGAAAAUGGCAAACAAAAGCAGGAGAACGGAAAGCCAGUGGUCCAAGCAGAAAAGAUGUUUUUUUUUUUUUUAAAGAGAGAGGGUGCGACGCUAUGAUUUCACUUUGAAAGUGUGAGACCAUUAUAAUUCAUAGCAUCAGUGGUGCAGAAGAAAUCAGAGUAUCAAGAGUCUCCUCCGGCCUCAAGAUCCUUAAGGUUUCAUCUAGGCAUGACAAGUUUCAUGAGAUCUAUGUUCUCGACAGAGAGGUGAAUGGCAUAUGAUUCAAGUUCAAGAUUCCAGUUCGUGGUCCAAAGAGCACAAUCAGUUGCCGUUGAAGCAGCUGUUGGAAGCUCUAUUGCCUUGCAACCAUCGAUUUCCUAUUCAGGAUUAUGGUAUAGUGGUGCUUUUUCUCUGUUUUCGUGUAUGUUGUCUUCUCUGCAGUUCUCUUCCACUUCAGCAUCAGUUUUACUGUAAUUGGUCUUGCUCCUGAUUUUUUUUUUUUGGUUUCUAUGUUUUCAGGUCAUAGAUUCUAUAACAUAUUGUUCAUAUUUUAGGUUUAAAUAGUUUGGUGGAUGAUUUGCAUGUGUUUCAUUUACAUUGCCUUGCAUUAAAGCUCUUGCCUUUGCCGUCUUUUGGCAGAUAGCUUUCUAAUUUAGUGCCAGGUGGCCUAUGUUUGCUUAUUUGUUUUAAUCUUUCCCAUGUAUGGAAUGUUUUAGAAAAAAUAUUAUGAAAUUAGGUUCUCUUGUACCACUAAGUUGCCUUUACAUUAAACUUACUCUUUGAUUUUGCUUUUCAGGACCAACUGGUUAUUCAAUGUUGAAAGAUUGCAUAGGGUUCAUAUAGAGUGAUCAAUUUUUGAGGUUAUAAAGACAGCCGGAGCAUCUAGAUAUCUCAAGCCUUUUCAAUUUCAACAUUUUAUUAAGUAAGGUGGAAGAAGACGAUGCUUGGAGUAAGUGAUAAGUGAUUAUGAUACAGGCUUUGAGAUUCAAUUCUGAUAACGCUUUAGUAUUUGUGUUCACUUGAAGCUUUUCUAAUAUUGUUUGAUUUUUAAUUGUAGUAAUACUCUUUCAUAUUACAGCAAUUAUUUGAAAAUUAAGUUU